AAUAGUAAACUUUUGGAAACAAGGUAACAAGUCAGCAUCUACAAUCUUUUGUGAAACUUGAAAAGGAUUGUUCGAUAACGUCAAGAAAAAUUUCCCGAUACGACAUUAUCUCAUGAUGUAACUGAAUACCAUCAAAAUCACUUUUUAACACAUUAUUUUCAUUUGAUUGGAAUUUCACAUCCAAAUUCAUACAUGAUUUCAUUAAGGACUUUCGGCCGCCUCUCUAAAUCCACAAGUAGAUUCAAUUUCAAUUGAAAGCUCUAAUUAAGCAUGGAACUGAAAAACGUGCACCGGUAAGUAAAUAAAGAAAGAAAAUAGGUUUGUAGUAUCAUGGUAACGAUAUGAUAAUUCGUGACUUUAGUCAAAUGUUUUCUUAAGGUCCUUUUAGACGGUCAUAUCUGUUCUCAGUUCAGUUUCAAUUUCCAUUAUCGUUUCAUUUCAUUUCGGGAAACUAGAUUCUUUUACACGAUGCGUUCAGUUCUCACUGUUCCCAAUCGUUUCAGUUCUUUGUAACCCGUUGAGUUGCGCGCAAAAAUUCAUUAAUUAAAAGUGUUCAACAUAUACAUUGUUCAUUCCGGUUUAAAAGUGUACAUUUGUGGUAUCACAAUUCAUGGAUGAAGUGACUGACUGUCUUAUUGCGACAGCUUUAGUUUUGAUUCUAAAGAAAAAGCUUGGACAUAGCGACAGACCCAUACGUACACCGUACAAAAUUUUCAAGAAAACUGACGCGAGUCGUGACGAUCUUGUUUUUACAUAUAGGAUUUCUGACAAAUGAAAUGAAACAAAUAGGUCUAUUCAUCCCGUCAGUUUUCAGUCUUCGUUUCAGUUUUCCUUUCACUGUUUACUUUUUAAACAUAGGAAAAACUGACAGUUCGAGUGAAACUGAAACUGAACUGAGAACAGAUAUGACCGUCUAAAAUGACCUUUACACGUGUGAUAUCCUCAAGAAUACUACGCAAACAUACGACUCCACUGCAGCACGUGCAUUUCUUCUUUACUCAGCAAGUAUAAAUAUAUACCUAUUUUCUUUUCAUAUGACGGUCCAUCGUGAUACUUUAGAACCCCCAUUAUCUAAACAGUAUACAUUUCUUCCUUAACGUUGCAUUUUCUUUCUUAACGAAGCAGAUACGCGCAUAGAAUAUCCGACAACGAUUUUAUUACAAGAAUUUUAUAUUUAUACUGAUUGUAUUCAGAAAAUGGACGAAGUUAGUGACAGUAUCUGUGAAGAUGUGUCUCCCAGAGAUAGAUAAAAUUCACACCUGGACGCAAACUUUCUAAUACUGAAUAAAAGAUAAACAACAUAAAAAUUGAAAGUAUAAAAUAAAAUUGCGUUUUAGAAAUCAAUCAAACGUCGCUAAUAAAUCACUAUACCGUAUUUUUAUUCCAACAGAAUUUUGGAUUUCAAAGAAAUAAUGUGACUUUGCAUGUUUUGUUACUGACAUGUUAUAUUAAUAUUUCGCGAAUUAUUUUCUCGAUGGAUCCAACGAGUCCUCGAAUCAAUCGUCACGCGAUUAUUGUUCAGUGUUUACCCUCCCCCCGUCCUUUGUUCUCUUCUUCGACAGUUAUGUAUCUUCUAUCUUGUAUUGAUCUCAAGUGAUUAACUAUACAUGCAUAGUUAUCGCACUAAUACAUACUUCUUACUUAUUUCCAUCUUCUUAUCAUAACUUUGUCUUACAUGACUUCUACAUUGUUUUUUAAUACUGUUCGCAGAAUCACUUAACUCUCAUAUCUGUGGGGACCUGCUAGUCUCCUUAUAGCUCGGGUACCUCGGGAUCGCUAAACCCGUACUGUAGCUGCAUAUGUAUUCGCAUUCUACAGCCCCUGAGGGUGACAGAUACGGUUAUUUAACAUAAUUUAAUAUAAAGGAAAUAGAAAUUAUUUCAUACUUUUAAGCAAUUCAAUCUAGAACUGGUGUAUGGUGGAGCGAUAUACCGCUCCUUGGCACUGAAAUGGUUAAAAGGAGGUUCGUCUACGUUUAAAGAAAGGAAACAGAGAAUCGUAUGUCGAACGGUUAUAGAGAUGAAAAUUUAUCAGCAAGAUAUAUCAGUUCAGCGAACAUCGAAAUAAUAUCAGUUUCAUUCGGCUGAUGUAAACGGCGCCUAAACAUGACGUUAUCCACUCUGUUAACGACAAGCCUAUGAAAUCUAUUCCAAAGAAAUAUCCGGUCAAGAUAUUACAAACGAGGAAACCUUCAUACUCAAAACGCUAGGUUAAUAAUGAAUUAAAAUAACUACUCAGUUUACUUGGAAAAAACCAAAGAGUAACUACUUUAUCAAAUUUAUCUUGCACACUCACAAAAAGAAGAAGACAAGAUUUAACAAGAUUCAGGCCAAAUAAUAAUAUAAUUCUAUUUAUAAGGAGUCACUGAAAUUUUUGUUUGUUUUAUUGGAUGGAUCUGAGCGGAAGUAAAGUUUGAGAAACACUAUAUUUAUUAGACGAUCUACUACAGUAUGUACCAAAUACCUCGUUUAUAUUUUGAUAGUUUGGUAGACAUUUCUAUAUUCUGCAUAAAGUUUUAAAUUUUGUUUAUAAAUGUUUCGUGAAAUAUUGAACUUGUGAAAGUAACACACCUCUAUUCACUUUCUGUCAAGUAUAUUCGAUCGUUUUAAAUAAUUUUCAAGUAUUUCCUUUGCUUGGUUUUAUGUAGCUAAAUUAUGUACAUGUAUGUAAACCGAUUUAAUGUUGUUCACAAACAAAUUAUAUCUUAACAUUUCGGUAGGAGAUAAAAUUAAUUGUUAUGUUUCAUUAAGAAAUACACGAUUCUUCCUUGUUGAAGUGCAAAACAUUAUCCGAGAUUUCUUUUCACUUUCAAUGCUACUAUAAUAUUAAUAUUAUACACAAGCAAAUUUAUAUUGCACAAUUUAUUAUACACGAUUAGAUUGUAAUUACGGUAGUAGCGAUGAUACUUGUGCUUCUCGAAACUCAGAAAGCAAUAACAUUUAUAUGUAGUAAGUCCGCAAUGUUAUUAUUUGUAACGUUUUUCAUCUGUGCAUGUUCGAAAUUUCUUUUUGCUGUUACAUAAUCCACUACAAGCAUAUAAAACUAGAUCUCGGGUAAUGGUACCAAUCUACCAAGGUAUCAUCUCAUACGAUAUUUUGGGAUUCCCAGUAUUAUAUUUCAAAUGAAAAUUAAAAUGAUGCAAUGUCGAUGAAAUGUUAAUGUACGCCCCAAUAAUGCAAGAGCUGGCUACUCGCACAUCUUCCCAACGUCAAUUCAGUAAAGUAAUUUUUAUCCUUAAACGAUUAACUCGGCGUUGCGAAAUAUUAGGUGAUAAAUUUAAUUUUUACCGUUUUUACAUCGACAAAAUUGAUUUAUUUCGACGGGAAGAUGAACAAACGAAGAGCACAACAUUUGCAAUGACUCUAAAAAGAUAGAUACAUAUUUCGAGAAUGUUGUGUAAGAAUUUGAAAAAGAAAUCUCUAUAAUUUCCAGAGUUACCUUAUCGCGGUUCAUUUUUAAUUGAGUAGAAAAUCUCUUUGGUAUGGAGAAAUCUAACAUGUAAGAACAAAGUCACUUUCAACGGUGUCUAAACUAGUAGCUCUAAUAACGAGCUACAAGAAUUUAAUUUACCACCUAAUACUCGUUACUUGAUCAUUGCUGUCCAUCUAGGGCCUAAGGGAUUCUACUCGAAGCCAGGGAAGCGUUACAUUUAGACAACCCAACGAGUAUAAAUACUGGUUAUGUUAAUCGCUUGUACUGUGCACGUUAUAUAAAUCAAAUGGAGAUCAUUUAACGAAGCAUUACUGUUCGUCCUACUAGGAAGUUUUAGCGGUAACUGCUCUUUUCUUUUAUUAUUAAAACUACAGAGAGUCACCGCAUGUCUAUUCUAUACUUCUAGAUAUUUUAAAUUAAAAGGGAGAGAAGCAAUUUAAUUUAUCGAUAUAAUUAGUAAGUUGUUGCAAUAACUGUUGGCAAAAAUGUCAGCAAAUGCAUUGUUAAUACUUGACUAACUUUAAAGAGAAGUUCAAAAUAAAUGUGUCGAUCUACCAAUAUAAUUACUACCAUAUUAGUACCAUUGUUAAUAAUUGAUUAAUUUUAAAAAGAAGUUCAAAACACCUAAAUAUAUUAAAUUGAUCGGCUUGGUAAUUUUAAUGUUAAAUAAUAGAAAUUAUAUAUUAAUUCUAGUUAUGUUACACUUGAAAUAAUUGUUCUUGAAAAAGCCAUAUAUUCUAUACUGAAACAUUGACUAAUAAAUCGUCUUAUAUCGCAACGAGUUAUUAUUCUUUCUUACCACAUAGACUCAAAUUGCUUUGUUAACGAGGAAAAUAAUUACUACAUAUGAAUUAUCUAACCACGUAAGCAUCACUUAAUUGCAGAAAUCUACGCGUACUCUCUACUCUUGUGUAUCUCGUAUUCAGCUGUGUCAGUGACAUUGUAUCAGGGUGUUUCACGAUUACGUUGUUCUCGUCACAGUCGGAUUUAACCUGAUCGUAAACCAUAACGAGACAGAUCACAUGUUUCUCUUUGUCAAAGAUACAGUCACUAAUGAAGAAAUAAUUCAUGGCUAAUACUGCUUUAAAUGGUAGCAUGUCGAUCGAACAAUCAAUGGCGAAAGUCGCAUGACGUUAAGAAGUCGUAUGACUCGACACUUAUCGUUAGAAAAAGUCCUUUCGUCAUCACCGUUGCAUCAUUUCUCUCUCAAAAAGUGCGUCGUUAUACUUAAUCAUAUUACUAUUUAUUAUAUCAUUACUUGAUUCUUAUUCGUUAUUCCAUUUUUAUUCAUUCAAGUGCUAUCAAAAACAUAGAAAACAGUUCUGUUUGUUCUGGAAAUAUACAUCGUAAUUUUGUCUUAACUUCAUACAAGUUCAACCACUUAACUUUGCCUCCUCAAAUAGCUCUUCAAUGGACUAUCGUACAUGUAUAAAAUUUGUUCAUGCAAUAGUUGCGUGAUAUCAAAGGGACAACUGUACAAAUAAUCAAUCGCUUUUACUUUGUUGGUUCACAGAGGUAUCGGGGUCAUCUUCGAUUUCUUUUUAAUUCCUUCAAUUCCUUAAAAAAAGGUGUCUUACGAAAACGUGUCAUAUAGAAUUAAAAUAUCUUACGAGUAGACUUUGAGACAUAGUAUUCCAUAUGGAACUCGUUAAGGCUACCGUUACCUAUUAAUUAAAAUGGUCAACUUUGGACAAGUGCCGUAGUCAUUGCGCUUUAUAAAUGAAACGAACGAGGGAAUGGAAGUGUUUUCUACCACUCUAGGCAUUUUCCAAUAACUUGCAUACAAAAAAUAAAAGGUACUAUGACGAUCACCACGAAUGACUUUUGUUCACUUAUUGUUAGAUUGACUAUUUGUCAUGAAGGCUUUCUAUUUAGCCAAACGAAUGGCUGUUUCGAGCAUAUCCUGCAAAAGCAAGCUACUCCACAUUCUUGGACCACAACAAUGUCUAUAACUCAAGAAAGAAUCAAAUAGUGUAGAGUAAACAUAACGGUCCAUAAUACUUGACUUAUAAGAUUUCUGUGUGAAAUGAAUUGUAAUAAUUACCAAAUGUACUUUGAAACGUACCUGAAAUACUCUCAAAAUAAAAAAAAACAACUAUACAUAAACUUUUCUGAUUAAAAAAAAAACACUCCAAGAAACUCUUAAUCCUUGGCCUCAUAAUGUGAUUUCCUCCCUUCCAUAUGUUUUCCAUAGUCUCUUUUUACAAUAUUCAUUAAUUUCUUUCUUUACAAUGCUUUGCAUUCUCUUCAUUCUCUGAUAUCCUCAUUAGAUAUGAUAAUAGUUUGUUGGGGUUCACUGGUCCCCUAUAGCCCUCGUGUACCUCGGGAUUGCUAAACACGUACUGUAGCUACAAUCAAACAUAGCUACAACCCCUGAGAGCCACACUAGCCUAAAGUACGGACAA